UACGGAGGGUGCAAACGUUGCUCGGAAUCAUUGGGCGUAAAGCGCACGUAGGCGGUUUGUUAAGUCGGAUGUGAAAGCCCUCGGCUUAACCGAGGAAGUGCAUACGAAACUGGCGAACUUGAGUACGGGAGAGGGUCGCGGAAUUCCCGGUGUAGAGGUGAAAUUCGUAGAUAUCGGGAGGAACACCAGUGGCGAAGGCGACUACCUGGCCUGUUUCUUGACGCUGAGGCGCGAAAGCUAGGGGAGCAAACGGG
rnacentral:rRNA from 1 species